UAGUGGCGAACGGGUGAGUAACACGUGGGCAAUCUGCCCUGCACUCUGGGACAAGCCCUGGAAACGGGGUCUAAUACCGGAUAUGAGUCUCCCAGGCAUCUGGGGGGCUGGAAAGCUCCGGCGGUGCAGGAUGAGCCCGCGGCCUAUCAGCUUGUUGGUGAGGUAAUGGCUUACCAAGGCGACAGACGGGUAGCCGGCCUGAGAGGGCGACCGGNCACACUGGGACUGAGACACGGCCCAGACUCCUACGGGAGGCAGCAGUGGGGAAUAUUGCACAAUGGGCGAAAGCCUGAUGCAGCGACGCCGCGUGAGGGAUGACGGCCUUCGGGUUGUAAACCUCUUUCAGCAGGGAAGAAGCGUGAGUGACGGUACCUGCAGAAGAAGCGCCGGCUAACUACGUGCCAGCAGCCGCGGUAAUACGUAGGGCGCGAGCGUUGUCCGGAAUUAUUGGNCGUANAGAGCUCGUAGGCGGCUUGCCGCGUCGGUUGUGAAAGCCCGGGCUUAACCCCGGGUCUGCAGUCGAUACGGCCAGGCUAGAGUUCGGUAGGGGAGAUCGGAAUUCCU
rnacentral:rRNA from 1 species